GGAUUAGAUACCCUGGUAGUCCACGCCGUAAACGAUGUCAACUAGUUGUCUGUUCCCUUGCGGAGUGGGUGACGCAGCUAACGCAUUAAGUUGACCGCCUGGGGAGUACGGCCGCAAGGUUAAAACUCAAAUGAAUUGACGGGGGCCCGCACAAGCGGUGGAGCAUGUGGUUUAAUUCGAUGCAACGCGAAGAACCUUACCAUCCCUUGACAUCCUGCGAACUUUCUAGAGAUAGAUUGGUGCCUUCGGGAACGCAGUGACAGGUGCUGCAUGGCUGUCGUCAGCUCGUGUCG
rnacentral:rRNA from 1 species